rnacentral:lncRNA from 1 species
GAUUUAUGUGUAGAUGCAUGUCAGCACAUCUGCAUGAAUCGGUACUUUUCUGUUGGCCCGGAUUCCAACCACCUUGGUCUCCCGAACCUCUAGGAUGUUUUCCCACGGAGGCUGCAUCCUUCCGACAGCAAACUGUCAGCCUCAACCUCUUCCCAGGGUUCAUUUUCUUUCUUCAGCUUCUGGUCUCUGUCCCAGGGGGAGGCUCUCAGCCUCAGCGUGCCUCUGGCCCGGGAGUCAGUCCGUCUGUAUUCAUGUCUCAGUGCCCUUCCUGUAAGUCAUCUAGGAAGGGGCACAGUCUGCAUCCUGUGUGGA